rnacentral:lncRNA from 1 species
AGGAGGACCCAUAUGAUAUUUACAACCAUAUAAUAAUAAUAAUAGUAGUUGCAUUAAUAAAAUAGGACAUGCAUACAGCUCAUUGGUAACGACUGUGGGAGUCAUAAUUCUAUGUUGUCCUACACGCACUUUAUCACCCAAGAAGAGAAAUGGAAAAUAUCAUUGUCUCCCCACCACCUAGCUAGUACUAUGAUUACCAUUUUAUAACCACAUAACAUAACAAUGUGUGUGUAACCACAUGACAUGAGUAUAAAUUACAAUAUGGAUGUGUGUUGUUUGCGAAUUGAGAAGAGAAAAUAAUAUAGAAGUCGAAAACUAUGUAUAUACGGUGUUGAUGUUGAAUUUUGUGUCCGAGUAGCAUUUUUGAGCAUAAAAGCUCAAUGCUAUCAACAAGUGAGUCAUAAUUCUGUUGUCCACAACACACUUUUAUCACCUAAAAGGGAAAGUUAAAAACUCAUUGUCUCCCCUCUGCCUAGUACUAUUAUGAUUGGCACUUUGUAACCACACACACAACAUAAGUUGGAUGGGAUAAAGUAAAAAUGAACAACUAAAAACAGCACCAAUUAAGUUUACUUUCUCAACUUUGAUAUAACUGCAAAAAAGGGGUAUUCAAGUUUUGCUACUAACUCAUGGCGUGUCUUUUGUCUCCUUCUCCCUUGCAAUCCAAUCCAGACGUAACUGAUCAUUCCCCUUGAGUACACAAUCAUCAUCUAGAAACCAUGUUUUAAUCAAAUCUACAAAGAGCAAUUUUAAUGAAAACAGCAAAGUACCUAAUUGGUAUGCUAUUCUUUUCAUCCCAUUGGCUUAACCUUGGUCAAAUUAUCUACUUUUUCACUUAUCCAAAUCAUGUUUUAAAUACCAAUUUCCUUGUAAUCGUAUGUUUGGUAUCACAAUGAGUAUGUUAGAAUUACGUUGAUCCGCCGUAAUUUUGUAGAAGCUGCAAAAUGUAGUUUUAUGAAAAUCACAAUGGAUCGCCAUGAUUCUGACAUACCUACCGUGAAGUCAAACAUAAGCUAAAUAAACAUACAAUUUGAUAUUUGAAACAUGAGUGGGACAGCAAGAGAGUGUCAUGAGCAACAACAUGCUAACAACCAAGCACAUAUGGGACAUCGACACCACAUUUUCACCUAAAAUUUAAAAAUAUCAGGUAUGGAUCAUAUUUCUUGUAUACCCUACAUUUAACUUGAUGCUUGUUUGGUAUCACGGUGAAUUGACCAAAGUUACACUUUGUAGCUUCAAUAAAAUUAUGGUGGCACUGUCAUUUUCUCUAAGUCACCGUAAUAACAAUCAUGCACUCAGAGAGAUAAAAGGCUCACACUUUAACCUCAACACAUAUAUAACUACAAGACAGUACAUUGAGGUGAAAUCACUGCCUAAUACACACCAACUGCAAGUUGAUGCAUCAAAGAAAUUAACUGGUAUGGGGUAUACCCACUACAAGUUGUUGCAUAUAUAGGCAAAUUCAUUGAUUAAGCAUAUGCAUAUCUAGUAUCUACCACAAGUUGACAAAUCCAAGCAAAAUCAUUUAUACAGUUCAUACCACGAUUACAAGUCGCCACUUCUAGAGAAAGAAUCAACCCAACACAUACUAGUACUGUCCUAGAAAACAUCUUCAAUCUGGUGCGUUGUACAUAUCGAUCACAACCAAUAAUGAUAUCAUUUCCCUAAAUCCAAACAUGAUAUCAAAUGCAAAUGAAUCAUCAUAAUAACAAAACAAAACUACUGUAAUAAAAAACAAAAACAAGCAAAUAAUCCAUAAUUCACAAACUCAAAUUGAAAUUGAAAUAUCACACAGUUAUCAAUCUGGUAAUACAAUCUAAAUGAAUAAUACUAAUGGAAACAGCUACGCUGUGUCUGUGAUAUUUCUAGCAUGUAAAAAUGAAAAUUAAUGAUAUGAAUACAAAGAAGAUAAAGCAGCAUUAGUAUUGAGUAUCACCCUGCCAGCUCCACACAAUGUCUUUGAGAGAAGGUCUAACUUCAUCUUCACAGAACUUUACAUACUCAAGUGUGUCUCCAGCUGACUUAGAAAACUCUACCACUGCCACCUCCGGUGCGACCUCAAACACCUCCACCGUCAUACCCAAUUUCCCCUUCCUCCCCUCUGUUGUCCCCUGCAUUCUCACCAUGAAAUCCUUCUUCCCCGUUACCCUCAAAUUAAGCUUCUUCGCCACAUUCUCCAGCUUCCCCACCACCGCAGAAGCAGACAACUUGGAUAUAAACAUCGAAGGCGAUCUCUUCCUCGUCUCAAACAAAUUCCUUAGAUCAAAUCCAUGUGAUAAAGAUGAAAUUAUCUCAAAUGCAUUGUAGGAUGGUCUACGAGAAUGUUUUGUUCCAGUUACACCCACAACCUCAACAGAAUUUCCAUCACCAUUCCCUUCAUCAUCUCCACUGAAAUCAAUGUUAUCAUCCACAGCAGAUUCUUUCAUUGAAAAAGCAAUAGGUCUCAUAAAUCCAAUUUGAAACCAAGGAUCUUUCAUAAUAUCAGGAAUUGAAAACCUCUUUUCAGGAUCAACAACAAGCAAAUUAGAAAUCAAUUUCUUAGCACCCGGUGAAAUCCAUUCUGGUAAAACAUAAUCAGCUUUAAAAGAUUUGCUAUAAAUCCUCAUAACAUUCUCACCUUGAAAGGGCAAAUAUCCACAAAGCAAAGCAAAAAGAAUAACACCACAAGACCAAAUAUCAGCUUUUGAUCCAUCAUAACCAAUCUUCUUCAAAACUUCAGGUGCAACAUAAGCAGGAGUCCCACAAGGUGUGAGAAGCAUUCCAUCGGAUCUACGUUGAUCAGGUAAUGCUGAUAAACCAAAAUCAGAUACCUUAAGAUCUUCAUUUUCAUCCAAAAGAAGAUUCUCGGGUUUAAGAUCACGGUGUGUAACUCCCCGACUAUGACAGAAAUCUACAGCACUGAUCAAUUGUUGAAAAUACUUUCUGGCAAUAUUUUCUUCCAUUUUACCUUUGGCGACUUUGGCGAAAAGUUCACCUCCUUUGACGUAUUCAACAACCAUGAAGACUUUAGCCUUGUUAGCCAUUACUUCUUUAAGCUCAACAAUAUGUGGAUGACGAACGAGACGCAUCACGGAAACUUCACGUUUGAUUUGUUUCAUCAGCCUCUCUUUCUUGAGCUUUUCUUUUUUGAUAACUUUGAUAGCCACGUUUUCGUUUGUGGCUAUGUUUCUUCCAUGAUACACUUUUGCGAAAUUUCCUUGCCCUAGAGUUUUACCUAUCUCGUAUUUGUUGAACAGAAUGUUUCUUUUCCUAUGUUGUUCCAUUGGAAGGGGUUGGAUCGAUCGAUCUAAGGUUGGUUAAUGAAUGAAUUGAUAUAUAGAUAUUUGUCUGUCUGUCUGUCUGUCAAUUACAGCUAAGGUAAUGGAAUUGUUUGACAUGAGAAGCACCAAGGAUGUUGAGCUUCAUUGUUUUAAUGAAGAUGGUGUCAAAAGGACACACAACGUUUUGUAGAAAGCAACUAGAAGGGUUGAAAAUCUUCAUUGGUGCGGUGCAUGUAAAAGGCAGGAAGAAGGGUUUGGUUUUGGGUUUGAGGUGAAGAAGGGUUGAAAGGAAUGGGUUGAGAUUUAUAUGGUUUGAUUAUGGAGCUGAGCAAAUUUAGGGGUGUGAAAAAUAAGGAUAAAAAUAGGGUUUAGGACACACGGUUUUAUGAUGGCUAUGGGCUGUGGCUGGCUAUGACCAAGCAUUGGAUUUGUUUGAGAAAAAGCAGAAGAGAUAAGGCUAAAAUAUCUGUGAAAUUACUAAAAUAAGCCAAAUUUGGUCUAUUUUUCCGCUGAACAAGUGGAGUUAUGUGGGUCCUUAACCUCUUUUUUAUUCAACGUUUUUCUGGUUGAGCUAUUUGCCUUUGUUUUUCUUUUCUAUAAUCCAAAUCUAAGACUACUACUUCCUUCCUUCCUUCCUUUCACACACAAAAAUAAUCUAAUUUCUUCUUGUCUAGCAACAAAUAGGACCACUACCUUCUUUCAUAUUUAAUUCAUCAUUAUGAUGGCGGUUUCCUUUCUUUUCUUUUCUUUUCUUUUUUAAAAUAAUUUUUAUUUACUACUACUUCAUAAGGGAUGUCAAGACAAGACUAAUCCCAAAAGUAAUUGAGAUUCAUUCACCUCUUCUAACAAUUUUUCCUUUGAUUUUUCUAGUUUAGUGAUUACUUUUUUCUAUUUUUAUAUUAAUUAUUAAAUUUUCAAUAUUUGUAUGAUGUUAUUUAGUAAGUAUAAUAAAUCUCCAGUCAAAAUCAAUAAAUUUUAAAAGAUAUUUUUUGACUAAAUAAAUCUAUUUUUGCUGAGUAAUGAAUGGAAGUUGUAAAAGGUGAAGCAAGAGAGAGAGAGAGAUAAGGUUAAUGAUUGGAGAGGAGAGGGUGACGUGGAAGUGAGUCAAAUACAGCUAAGUGUGUGGUUUAUGUGAGUUUUGUUUGGAUCUUCAUGAUGAUCUUAACCUAACCUAACACCGUUUCUUUCUCUAAUAUACUAACGUAGUAGUUAUUAUUAUUAUUAUUAUUAUUAUUAUUAUUAUUUUUUUUUUUUAAGUUUUGAAUGCAGGUUUGGAGCGGAGCGGAUGAGACAUGUGAAAUCUGAAAGAAACAAAGACAUCGCUAAAUUCAAACAACCUCCAUAAACAAAGGAAACUUGUAUUUUUAUACGUACCACGAAACUCCCAUUCACAAUAUAAAUAUGAUUAUAGAUUUUUUUUUAUUUAAAACAAUGAUGUAAUGAAAAAUGUUAAGAAUACUCUCUCUAGCACUUUGUCUAACAUUCACCAUAUGAAAUUCAUGUAGAUCUCACUAUUUUACGUGGAUUCAUUUCCAAUAUUCAUGUAAGUCUCUUCACAUUAUGUAGGAUCCAUUUCAAAUGUAUGAUAAUCAUGUAGAUUUUAUCCAAUAAAAGAGUGACCGUUUGAGAGAGUGUUCAUAGUAUUUAUCAUGAUGUAAUAGUAUUUUGGUUAUACAAGUAAUGCUAGUGACACUAUAUUUUGAACACAGUUUCUAAUACUUAAAUUUUUAUUGGUUUAAAUCAUUGUGAGUUUACACUUUCAAAAUCGAAUUCACACAAAAUAG